UACGUAGGGGGCAAGCGUUGUCCGGAAUCAUUGGGCGUAAAGCGCGUGUAGGCGGCUUGGUAAGUCCGUUCUGAAAGCCCGGGGCUCAACCCCGGGAGGCGGAUGGAUACUGUCAAGCUCGAGUCCGGAAGAGGCAAGUGGAAUUCCGAGUGUAGAGGUGAAAUUCGUAGAUAUUCGGAGGAACACCAGUGGCGAAGGCGGCUCACUGGUCCGGUACUGACGCUGAGGUGCGAAAGCGUGGGGAGCAAACAGG
rnacentral:rRNA from 1 species